UCUGUAGCAAGGUUAACCGUAUAGGGGAGCCGGAGGGAAACCGAGUCUUAACCGGGCGUUAAGUUGCAGGGUAUAGACCCGAAACCCGGUGAUCUAGCCAUGGGCAGGUUGAAGGUUGGGUAACACUAACUGGAGGACCGAACCGACUAAUGUUGAAAAAUUAGCGGAUGACCUGUGGCUGGGGGUGAAAGGCCAAUCAAACCGGGAGAUAGCUGGUUCUCCCCGAAAGCUAUUUAGGUAGCGCCUCGUGAAUUCAUCUCCGGGGGUAGAGCACUGUUUCGGCUAGGGGGCCAUCCCGGCUUACCAACCCGAUGCAAACUGCGAAUACCGGAGAAUGUUAUCACGGGAGACACACGGCGGGUGCUAACGUCCGUCGUGAAGAGGGAAACAACCCAGACCGCCAGCUAAGGUCCCAAAGUCAUGGUUAAGUGGGAAACGAUGUGGGAAGGCCCAGACAGCCAGGAUGUUGGCUUAGAAGCAGCCAUCAUUUAAAGAAAGCGUAAUAGCUCACUGGUCGAGUCGGCCUGCGCGGAAGAUGUAACGGGGCUAAACCAUGCACCGAAGCUGCGGCAGCGAACGUAUCACCCAAGACAACUUUACGGAGUUGACGAUUGACGGAGCGAAGCGACGUCAAAGCGUUCAUUAAAGUCGAGUUGGCUUAGGGAUACGUUCGUUGGGUAGGGGAGCGUUCUGUAAGCCUGUGAAGGUGUGUCGUGAGGCAUGCUGGAGGUAUCAGAAGUGCGAAUGCUGACAUAAGUAACGAUAAAGCGGGUGAAAAGCCCGCUCGCCGGAAGACCAAGGGUUCCUGUCCAACGUUAAUCGGGGCAGGGUGAGUCGACCCCUAAGGCGAGGCCGAAAGGCGUAGUCGAUGGGAAACGGGUUAAUAUUCCCGUACUUGGUGUUACUGCGAAGGGGGGACGGAGAAGGCUAUGUUGGCCGGGCGACGGUUGUCCCGGUUUAAGCGUGUAGGUGUGUGUUCCAGGUAAAUCCGGUUCACUUUAACACUGAGGCGUGACGACGAGGCACUACGGUGCUGAAGCAACAAAUGCCCUGCUUCCAGGAAAAGCCUCUAAGCAUCAGGUAACAC
rnacentral:rRNA from 1 species